AACCAUUCUCACCUGCGGCUAGACCUGCGGAGGGAUCAUUACCGAGUGUGAACCCCCCCGUAAAAAAGAGGGGUUACCUCCCGUCCUUUGCUGGGAACCCCUUUCCAACUUGGAAGGAGGUUGUUUUCAGACCCUUCUGCUUCGGUGGGGUAACCCACCGGAACAACCUCAAAAAUAUUCUCAAUUCAAAACCGUUCAGUCCGAGAACUUUUUUGAAAAGCGAAAAAACUUUCAGCAAUG
rnacentral:misc_RNA from 1 species